rnacentral:rRNA from 1 species
CCUACGGGUGGCAGCAGUGAGGAAUAUUGGUCAAUGGGCGCGAGCCUGAACCAGCCAAGUAGCGUGAAGGAUGACUGCCCUACGGGUUGUAAACUUCUUUUAUAAAGGAAUAAAGUGAGGCACGUGUGCCUUUUUGUAUGUACUUUAUGAAUAAGGAUCGGCUAACUCCGUGCCAGCAGCCGCGGUAAUACGGAGGAUCCGAGCGUUAUCCGGAUUAUUUGGGUUUAAAGGGAGCGUAGAUGGGUUGUUAAGUCAUUUGUGAAAGUUUGCGGCUCAACCGUAAAAUUGCAAGUGAAACUGGCAGUCUUGAGUACAGUUGAGGCAGGCGGAAUUCGUGGUGUAGCGGGGAAAUGCUUAGAUAUCACGAAGAACUCCGAUUGCGAAGGCAGCUUACUAAACUGCCACUGACAUUGAUGCUCGAAAGUGUGGGUAUCAAACAGGAUUAGAUACCCGGGUAGUC